rfam:Pan troglodytes isolate Yerkes chimp pedigree #C0471 (Clint) chromosome 2B, whole genome shotgun sequence.
GCUGGGCAUGAUGGCACAUGCCUGUAGUCCCAGCUACCUGGGAGGCUGAGGCAGGAGGAUCACCUCAGCCCAGGAGGUAGGGCCUGCAGUGAGCUGUGAUCGUGCUACUGCACUCCAGCCUGGGCAACAGAGUGAGAUCCUGUCUCAA